GUGCCCGUGUUACGAUCUAUCCAGCGAAUUCUAGAGGAAGUGGAAGAACAGAGUAAGAACGGGAGGAACAGAGGAGGAAAUGUCAAAAUAGAGAAGAAGGUUUGAUUUGGGGAAUAGUUUUGUGUUUUGUGUUUACACUUUCGACACCCUCUUCUCUCUUAGCCCUCUGGUAUUUAUACACCAUACCAGAACAUCAUUGGACUGUGACCCAUUCUGGCCCACUCACACGGACAUUAGGUUUCUUAGCCCGCGUAGGACGCCGAUAGCUUCUCAGCGGAUUGCCUUUGUCGAUAUCUGCUACAGGCAGCGUAACAUUCUCCCCCCCUUCAGACUCGGCUUGUCCCCAAGCCGGUGCAGCAGGAAAACGGACCCGAAGAGAUUCAGCAUCCUCCCAAGUCGCCUCAUCCACACCAUGGCCAAACCAACGCACCUUGAAUUGAGGACGCACGGCAGCUCCAAGCUUGUACAGACGACGCACCAAUAUCUGCAUCGGAACUGAAGAAUCCGGAGCCAGUGCAGCAGGUAACUUGACAACCGUCGCAGAAUCCGGUGGAGGCGCCUGACGAAGCUGAGAUACAUGGAUAACAGGGUGAAUAGAACAACCUGGGGGUAAUUGCAAUCGGUAAGCCACUGCACCCACUCGAGCAGUUACUUGAAACGGUCCAAAGUAGCGAAAAGCUAACUUGUGAUUAGAACGAACUGCCAAAGAAGUCUGCGCAUAUGGUUGAGCUUUGAGAAAAACCCAAUCUCCCACCGCAAACUCUCGCUCAGAACGUUUCUUAUCUGCCUGAACCUUCAUACGCUGCUGAGCACGCAAUAAGUGUUGAAGCAGCAAACCUGAAACCAUUGCUCGUUCUUUCAACCACUCAGCAAGAUCAGGAACAGCAGCAGCAGAAAUGUCCAAUACACCAAAGUGACGAGGAGUGUGACCAUAGAGCACUUCAAAAGGAGAUGUGCCAAGAGCAGAGUGAUAAGCUGUAUUAUACCAAAACUCCGCUAGAGCCAACCAUCGGUACCACUUAGUAGGACAGGCAUGGACAAAGCAGCGAAGAAAAGUUUCAAGACACUGAUUGACACGCUCGGUUUGGCCAUCAGUUUGAGGAUGGUAUGCAGAACUCAUCUUGAGUUGAGUAUCUGUCAGUCGAAAUAACUCAGACCAAAGGGCACUGGUGAAAAUGCGAUCACGAUCCGAGAUAAUUGACUAUGGCAUACCAUGCAGUUUGUAUAUGUUGUUGAGAUAAGCCAGGGCCACAUCUAAAGCUAUGAAAGGGUGGGACAAUGCCACAAAAUGAGCAUAGCGAGAAAACUUGUCAACCACCACUAAAACACAAUCAAACCCCGUCGACUUUGGUAGUCCUAUGAAAUCAAGGGAAACAGUUUGCCAAGCAUGAUUGGGAACCGGAAGAGGCUGCAACAACCCCGGCUAAUGAACUCUUUCAGCUUUGGCCUGCUUACAGACUGAACAUUGAUCAAUAAAUUCCAGCACAGACUUCUUCAAUCCUUGCCAAGCAAAGAGUUUCUUUAUUCUGCUAUAAGUCACCUGCACCCCAGAAUGACCACCAAUAGCUCCAGAAUGCAAGGCUGAUAAAAUGCGAUGUUGCAGUGUAGUAUUGUUGCCAAUCCAAAUUUUGUUCUUAUAAUGCAAAAUGCCAUCCCGCAAGGAAAAAUUAGGUACAGCAGAAGCUUGUAAAGUCACCUUAGAUAACAAAUCAGCAGAGUAGGGAUCAGACAGAUAUCCUUCUUGGACUUCAGUUAACCAGUCAGGUAUACAUACUGACAAAGCACAUGCUUGAAUGUGAUCAUCAGUUGAGCAACGAGACAAAGCAUCUGCAGCUCUAUUAUCUAACCCACGCUUGUAGACUAACCGAUAAUUCAGUCCCAAUAAUUUCGUCAUUGCCUUCUGCUGCCAAGGCGUAGCCAACUUUUGAUCACCGAGAUGAAUCAGACUACGCUGAUCAGUACGGAUGACAAACUCCCCAAACUGAAGAUAAGAGCGCCAGCGAUCCACUGCCAAAAGAAUAGCUAGACACUCCUUUUCAUAUAUUGAUAAACCGCGAUUGCGAGGUCCCAAGGCCUUACUCAAGAACGCCAAUGGAUGGCCUGCCUGCAUCAAGACUGCCCCAACACCUUUGUCAGACGCGUCAGUUUCAAUCUCAAAAGGCUUACUGAAAUCAGGAAUCGCCAGCACUGGUGCAGAAGUUAAGGCUGAUUUCAAAGCUUCAAAUGCUUGCUGAUGAGAUAUAGUCCAGACAAAAACAACAUUCUUCUUAAGCAGAUCUGUCAACGGACGACUGAUUACACCAAAGUGCCGAACAAAUUUGCGAUAAUAACCUGCCAGGCCAAGAAAUCCCCGUACCUCCUUUACAUUAGUUGGAACUGGCCAUCGUUGCACAGCAAGAAUAUUUUUUGGAUCAGUACUGACACCAGCAUGGCUAAUAACAUGGCCCAAGUAAAUCAAACUUGAUUGAGCAAAUGAACACUUAGAGCGCUUCACCUUAAGUUGAUGUUCAGUCAACAAUUGGAAAACCUGACGUAAUAAUUGCACAUGUUCUGUCAAGGUUGCACUGUAAAUCAGAAUGUCAUCUAUGAAAACAAGCACUCCCUUCCGGAGCAAAGGGGAUAACACUGUAUUCAUGACACCUUGGAAAGUAGCGGGUGCACCAGUUAAUCCAUAAGACAUAACCCGAAACUCGUAAUGUCCAUGAUGCGUUUUGAACGCAGUUUUAUGUUCAUCUUCUGGUCGCAUACGGAUUUUAUGAUAACCCGCCCUUAAAUCCAAACUAGUGAAUAUAGUUGCUCCUGCCAGAUCAUCAAGUAACUCAUCAAUCACUGGAAGAGGAUAUCGAUUCUUGACUGUUAUAGCAUUAAGGUGGCGAUAGUCGAUACAGAACCUCCAUGUCAAGUCCUUCUUGAGGACCAACAAUACUGGAGAUGAGAACGGGCUGGAGCUGGGUUGGAUAACACCCUGACGCAACAUUUCAGUCACUUGACGCUCAAUCUCAUCCUUUUGUGCUGGAUUAUAACGAUAAGGACGAAGAUUGACAGGUUUUGCACCAGGCAACAGUGGUAUAGAAUGAUCAAAAUCACGCUGUGGUGGCAGACCUUGAGGUUCCUCAAAAACAGAAGCAAAUUCUUGUAGCAAUGAGUCAAUAACAGCUGGUAUAUCUGAACUAGGUGCAAUAGUAUCCAACAAACACAGUUCCACAGUCUGAACCACCGCAUUACGACUGACCAGCCCUCGCACCUGAGAUGCAGAAAUUGCCGGACAAUGAACAGUGUUAAGUUGUACCCCCUUAAGACAAACAGACUGCUGCUCUUGCUGAAAUAACAGAGUUUUGGCUCGCCAAUCCACCUGCAUUGGACUAUGUUUCACAAGCCAAUCCAUACCCAGUAUAACGUCAUAACUACCCAGAGGCAAAAUCUUGAGAUCUGAACGAAAAGUGUAUCCUUGCACCCACCAUUCACAAUCAGCAAUUUCUUGAGAACAGUGCAGAACUCCGCCAUCGGCCACGCACACCUUGACAGCAGGAAUAGCAGCCCGGCCCCCUUGCAAUUUAUUAGCCAAACCUUCAGAUAUAAAGCUAUGCGCGAGCUCCCUGAAUCAACCAGCAUCAGAACCUCAUGUUUCUGAAUGAAACCCUGCAGCCGUAGAGUUCCUGAAGCCUCAAUACCCAUCAUUGCUUCCUUAGAGAUCUGACAGAUUUCUCCUUCAGAAAUUCCUUCUGUUGGGUCUUGCACACUUGACUGCUCAUCUCCAGAAUUAUCCACCGAAGGAGCAGAUAACAUUUCCAAUAAUUCUUCAACAACAUGGAGCUGCACAGUAGGACCACACUUGUGGUCUCGAUUAUAUCUCUCCCCACAAGUAUAACAGAGUCCUUUGGCUCGGCAGUAAGCACGCAAGGCUGACAGCUUAUCCUCAGCCAUUGAUGCCCUGGAUUCUUCAGUAAUGCGCCAUUCAUCAGGUUUGUUGCCCAGACUUGUGUUCUGACGAACAGUAGAAACUGAUGUCAGAGAAUUUGGUCUUGCCACCGUACGAACUCCCCCAGCAAAAUCACUGCGUCGCAUUUCCUUGCGCAGCACCUCCAAUACUUCCUCCUGCAAACAUGCCAAAUCGACAGCAGUAUCGAGGUCUUGUGGGCGAUGGAGCACUACAGCAGCUCUAAUGUCUGCUCGUAGGCCAUCCAUGAACUGAGUAACAAAGAAAACUGGGUUCCAUGAUGAAUGAUGAGCUUGCAAUUGAUGAAUCAACUCACUAAACCUCUCUGCAUAGCUAGUCACAGUUCCGGUUUGCCUUAACUGAUUAAACUGCCUAUUUAAUCCCUGAAACUCCUCUCUCCCAAACUUCUUACACACUACUUCCGCGAAAUCCUCCCAACACACACACUCAAUAUGAGCAUCAGUGGAUUGUAGCCAAGUAAGCGCUGCCCCCAUAAACUGCAAAGCUGCUACUCCCACCCAAUGAUCAAAAUAGACUCCACUGACUCGAAAAUAGGUUUCGCACUUAAGCUUCCAUGCCCUAGGAUUAUCGCCGUCAAACGAAGGGCAAUCUACCCGCACAGAUCCCCCAUGGUGAUGAACAUGAUGCGAUGACCCAAACCUCCCCGACGAUUCUCCAAACUCAAAUCGAGAAUUAUUUCCAGGACUCGAAUAGAACGUACCCUUGCCCGGGAGAGACGAUGGGAAAUUUUCAUUUCCCAAGGUUUUCCCCCGGUUUGAAGUUGCAGCGCGAUGGCUAAAUAGCCUAGCAUGUUCAUCCACUUGAGGAAGCUUGAGUUCUAGAGAGGGCUUGGGUUCCUCGUCCUUGAUCUCGUUCAGCUUCGGUCCUGGUGGUGUAGGCAGCAACGGAGGCAGAUCCGCAAGCUUGGUCACCCUGGCCGGAGAACGAGAAAUUUGCUCCACUUGCGUGCGCAACUCCGCCAUCUUGUCCCGUAAUUCCGCCACCGUCCGCUCCACUGUUGGCUUCCAUCCAGCCAACUCCACCACCAUCGGCUUGAUUUCUUCCAGCGACCCAACCGAAGUUUGAAUCGCCGUGUUUUGCUUCUGGAUCGCCGCCAUGGCCGCCGCGAGAUCAGCGAGUUGCUGCUCCAUCUCCUGAGCCUUGAGCUGCGCUCGCGAAUGGUAGCGUGGCUUGUUGAGGUACUCCAGGAUUCGAGCGCUCUGAUACCAAUUUGUUACGAUCUAUCCAGCGAAUUCUAGAGGAAGUGGAAGAACAGAGUAAGAACGGGAGGAACAGAGGAGGAAAUGUCAAAAUAGAGAAGAAGGUUUGAUUUGGGGAAUAGUUUUGUGUUUUGUGUUUACACUUUCGACACCCUCUUCUCUCUUAGCCCUCUGGUAUUUAUACACCAUACCAGAACAUCAUUGGACUGUGACCCAUUCUGGCCCACUCACACGGACAUUAGGUUUCUUAGCCCGCGUAGGACGCCGAUAGCUUCUCAGCGGAUUGCCUUUGUCGAUAUCUGCUACAGGCAGCGUAACA
rnacentral:lncRNA from 1 species